rnacentral:misc_RNA from 1 species
UUUUCCAUCGACCACAAGCGCUCGCACUGACCCGCACACGCCGCUGACAGAUGCCGUCAAUCGCCACAAGAGAGUUUGCCCUCCAUCAACGUUGCACGCUUUCCUCGCUCUCUUUGUGCAGCAGAAACGGAAACGAAAAGGGGUGCGCGUGGUCUGAGAGUGUAACCACGAAAUGGGUGCGAUGAAGAGGCGGCGCGUGCAGUGCGUGGCUCCGCCGCUGUUCGUGCUGCGCUGUGCGAUUUGCGCUCCCUUUCUCCCGCCCCCUCUUUACUGUGUUCUUCGGCUCGACGCUGCUGAAAACGCUCGCCGCCCCUACUCUCCUCCCCUCCUGCCUCACGCUGUCGCUUCCCCGUCCACACGCUCGCCUCGCUGCCCACUCCGUGUCUAUGUGCUGCGUAGCCUCGCUGACUUCGUUGAUGGGCCCGCACGGCUGCGACGCGGCAAGGUGCGAUUCUGUCGGGUGCGGCCUCUCAGCGAGUGCUUCCGCGCGGCAUUUGUGGGCGAGCGCAUCCACGAGCACAUGCGUAUGUGGUGUGACAUUUGUUUGGGCGGAUCAUGCAUGGGCAGACUGCGAUGAGCCUGCUGUGUAGGCCUUGUCAUCCUCUGCGUAUGGCCUCCUUGAGGUUUGGUUUUUCACGUCGCCGUGUUUCUCCCCUUUCGGGGUGGCAUUUCUCUUUUGCCAUGCGUAAGAAGCAAACGUCCUCCCCACCCGCCUCGCCCCUCGCAUGCCACGUACACUACUGCGAAGGAGGCUGUUACAGUCUCACCCGCAGCAGCAUGUCUCUGCAGCCAUUUGCUGUGUGCACUCGCCUGUCCGCGUGCGUCGUGUCCUUUCACGAUGUUUGUGCCUCGAAGCGGGAUGCGCGCAUGCGAUGCCGGUUCUCUUGUUGUUGGGCUCUCCAAUGUCUGUCGGCAACUCUGUGCCCUACGACGCUGCUGCACGUCUACCAGUCGUGCUUGCGGUGAGGUGCACACGCACAAGGAAACGACAUCAAUAGGAAAACGGCAAGAGCUCGAGGGUGCUCCGAAAGCACUCCAGUAAAGAGAGUUGGUCGGACCGGUGUCACUUUUUGCGUGUUUACGGUACAUCGGGUGCGCGCACAUGUUUUCUUUUUUUUUUGACCGCGUCGUUGCUCGCGUGCUUUCCUUUUCCUCUUCGCCUUCGGUCGUGCCUCCGUGCUUGAUGUGCCUUCUCUGUCUCACUCUUACUUCGGAUGCGAAAGCGAAUCAACGCCCAGUGCACGAGGUGCGCGGGCGCUUGUCUCAAGGCCGUGGGCCACGAGUGAGCGGGCUCAUCUUCUCCCUCUUUUGGUUGGUCCGGCCGGUGGCUGCUCCUUCUGCGCGCUACAUGUUUUCGCUUUUUUUUCCUCCACAACCGUGGUCCCUCCUCCUUGGCGGUGAUGUCUUUCUCCCAGCCAGCUAGCGUAUGCCGCAGUCUCUGGAUGGUGUUGUGUCGACGAAUGUUCCGGUGCUGGCGUAACGAGAACCAACGGCAAAGCCUAAACAAACAAAAAACGAAGUCCGCCACCGCUGCGCAUCGCCGAAGGGAACGCCAGACUUUGCGUGCGCCCCACCUAACGUUUUCCUGUGUUUUGUUUUUCGCAUCUAUUCAGCUUGAGUGCUCCGCGCCCCGCCCCACUGUUGAUCCUGCGUGGCUGCGGAUCGGGCGAGGCGUAUUUGACACGCGCCCGCCCGCCCCAUCGAGACAGCGUUUGUCGCGCCAGCCUCCACGCUGUGAAACCCAACGCACUCGAUGGUUUAGGGCACCACUGCAGAGUGGAUUAUACGAUCAGACACUUGACGCUCUUCUCUGCAGCCACAAAAACGAAGGUGCGGUUGUGUUGUUUUACAGCACACGCACCUGCUUUCGCUCUCUACUCUGCCGUCGCUUUUCUUCUUUUCAG